GCCGGGAUGGUGGAAUUGGUAGACGCAGUGGACUCAAAAUCCACCGGGGGCAACCCUGUGCGAGUUCAAGUCUCGCUCCCGGCACCA
rnacentral:tRNA from 1 species